CUAUACAUGCAGUCGAGCGGACAGAUGGGAGCUUGCUCCCUGAUGUUAGCGGCGGACGGGUGAGUAACACGUGGGUAACCUGCCUGUAAGACUGGGAUAACUCCGGGAAACCGGGGCUAAUACCGGAUGCUUGAUUGAACCGCAUGGUUCAAUUAUAAAAGGUGGCUUUUAGCUACCACUUACAGAUGGACCCGCGGCGCAUUAGCUAGUUGGUGAGGUAACGGCUCACCAAGGCAACGAUGCGUAGCCAACCUGAGAGGGUGAUCGGCCACACUGGGACUGAGACACGGCCCAGACUCCUACGGGAGGCAGCAGUAGGGAAUCUUCCGCAAUGGACGAAAGUCUGACGGAGCAACGCCGCGUGAGUGAUGAAGGUUUUCGGAUCGUAAAACUCUGUUGUUAGGGAAGAACAAGUACCGUUCGAAUAGGGCGGUACCUUGACGGUACCUAACCAGAAAGCCACGGCUAACUACGUGCCAGCAGCCGCGGUAAUACGUAGGUGGCAAGCGUUGUCCGGAAUUAUUGGGCGUAAAGCGCGCGCAGGCGGUUUCUUAAGUCUGAUGUGAAAGCCCCCGGCUCAACCGGGGAGGGUCAUUGGAAACUGGGGAACUUGAGUGCAGAAGAGGAGAGUGGAAUUCCACGUGUAGCGGUGAAAUGCGUAGAGAUGUGGAGGAACACCAGUGGCGAAGGCGACUCUCUGGUCUGUAACUGACGCUGAGGCGCGAAAGCGUGGGGAGCGAACAGGAUUAGAUACCCUGGUAGUCCACGCCGUAAACGAUGAGUGCUAAGUGUUAGAGGGUUUCCGCCCUUUAGUGCUGCAGCAAACGCAUUAAGCACUCCGCCUGGGGAGUACGGUCGCAAGACUGAAACUCAAAGGAAUUGACGGGGGCCCGCACAAGCGGUGGAGCAUGUGGUUUAAUUCGAAGCAACGCGAAGAACCUUACCAGGUCUUGACAUCCUCUGACAACCCUAGAGAUAGGGCUUCCCCUUCGGGGGCAGAGUGACAGGUGGUGCAUGGUUGUCGUCAGCUCGUGUCGUGAGAUGUUGGGUUAAGUCCCGCAACGAGCGCAACCCUUGAUCUUAGUUGCCAGCAUUCAGUUGGGCACUCUAAGGUGACUGCCGGUGACAAACCGGAGGAAGGUGGGGAUGACGUCAAAUCAUCAUGCCCCUUAUGACCUGGGCUACACACGUGCUACAAUGGGCAGAACAAAGGGCAGCGAAGCCGCGAGGCUAAGCCAAUCCCACAAAUCUGUUCUCAGUUCGGAUCGCAGUCUGCAACUCGACUGCGUGAAGCUGGAAUCGCUAGUAAUC
rnacentral:rRNA from 1 species